AGAUUAAGUUAUUAAGGGCGCACGGUGGAUGCCUUGGCACUAGAAGCCGAUGAAGGACGUUACUAACGACGAUAUGCUUUGGGUAGCUGUAAGUAAGCGUUGAUCCAGAGAUUUCCGAAUGGGGGAACCCAGCACAAGUUAUGUUGUGUUAUCGACAAGUGAAUUCAUAGCUUGUCAGAAGGCAGACCCGGAGAACUGAAACAUCUUAGUACCCGGAGGAAGAGAAAGAAAAUUCGAUUCCCUGAGUAGCGGCGAGCGAAACGGGAAGAGCCCAAACCAAUAAGCUUGCUUAUUGGGGUUGUAGGACACUCUAUACGGAGUUACAAAGGAAUAUAUUAAACGAAUCAUCUGGAAAGUUGAAUCAAAGAAGGUAAUAAUCCUGUAGUUGAAAAUAUAUUCUCUCUUGAGU
rnacentral:rRNA from 2 species